GACGUAGGGCGCAAGCGUUGUCCGGAUUUAUUGGGCGUAAAGAGCGUGUAGGCGGUUUGGUAGGUCCGUUGUGAAAACUCGAGGCUCAACCUCGAGACGCCGGCGGAAACCAUCAGGCUAGAGUCCGGAAGAGGAGAGUGGAAUUCCAGGUGUAGCGGUGAAAUGCGCAGAUAUCAGGAAGAACCCCCGUGGCUAAGGCGGCUCUCUAGUACGGUACUGACGCUGAGACGCGAAAGCGUGGGGAGCGAACAGG
rnacentral:rRNA from 1 species